AUUGAACGCUGGCGGCAGGCUUAACACAUGCAAGUCGAGCGGAGAUGAGGUGCUUGCACCUUAUCUUAGCGGCGGACGGGUGAGUAAUGCUUAGAAAUCUGCCUAUUAGUGGGGGACAACAUUCCGAAAGGAAUGCUAAUACCGCAUACGUCCUACGGGAGAAAGCAGGGGAUCUUCGGACCUUGCGCUAAUAGAUGAGCCUAAGUCGGAUUAGCUAGUUGGUGGGGUAAAGGCCUACCAAGGCGACGAUCUGUAGCGGGUCUGAGAGGAUGAUCCGCCACACUGGGACUGAGACACGGCCCAGACUCCUACGGGAGGCAGCAGUGGGGAAUAUUGGACAAUGGGGGGAACCCUGAUCCAGCCAUGCCGCGUGUGUGAAGAAGGCCUUAUGGUUGUAAAGCACUUUAAGCGAGGAGGAGGCUACUGAGACUAAUACUCUUGGAUAGUGGACGUUACUCGCAGAAUGAGCACCGGCUAACUCUGUGCCAGCAGCCGCGGUAACAC
rnacentral:rRNA from 1 species